CCCAAGAAGGAUCAGGUCACUUGACAUAAAAGGACUCAGAUGCCAGACGUUCUGCCCAGAUCUAACCUUGGAGGCAACCUGCUGGAUGUCUUUAGCUGUUCAAAGCUAAGAUAAAGCUGAGCAGCCCCAGGAAGAGAAAUGGUAUUUUGCAGCCAGCUCUAUUCAGGAUGAUUGUGCAGAGCUCUGCUAAUGGGCUCUGCCAAGCUGUGGUCACCCCAUGGAGCUAUUGGCAGGAGAGGUGGCAAGUUGGAGAGGACUACAAGGGAACUCGGCAUGAUAUUUUUUGAUGAGCUGAUUAUUCAGAAAUCGCACAAGAGCUGAAAUACAUCAUUCCAUUCGGAAACUCAGCACCGCCAGCACUCAGGACAGCCUACACGAGCGGCUUCUCCUUCACAGAGCCGCUGGAUCGUGCGCCGGGAAGCAGAUGCAGCCAUCGGACCAGGAGUUUUGACAGCCCUCGGCUGAGACCCUGACCCUGCGGUGACAGACUGUAUAAUGGCAAAGGCGUUCUGCCCUAGUGAUUUGGGACCAUCAUCCAGAGAAUGUCCUUGUGUUCCAGACACUGAGACACAAGUGAACAGAGAAUUUCUUCCCAUGUCUGAUCUAAUUUUCACUACCUUUUGGUGGUCCAUCCUGGCAAAAGGCCAUCAACAUGUGCCACAGAAGACCUGGAGGGUGCUCCCAAAGUAGAGGAACGUCAAUGUUGAGAGCCUGACACCUGAGCUGACUGCAGCCAUGAAAGGUUAUAACCAGAUUAAGGUGGAAAUGCUCUGAAGGCAGAAGGCAUCAUCUCAGGCAGAAAACAGAAGGCUUUCAAGCUGGAUCUUGCAGUCAAAGACUGCCACAUGUUACAAUGAACGGCUUUUGAG